rnacentral:rRNA from 1 species
AACGAACGCUGGCGGCUUGCCUAACACAUGCAAGUCGAACGAGACCUUCGGGUCUAGUGGCGCACGGGUGCGUAACGCGUGGGAACCUGCCCUUAGGUUCGGAAUAACUCCCCGAAAGGGGUGCUAAUACCGGAUAAUGUCUUCGGACCAAAGAUUUAUCGCCUUUGGAUGGGCCCGCGUUGGAUUAGCUAGUUGGUAGGGUAAAAGCCUACCAAGGCGACGAUCCAUAGCUGGUCUGAGAGGAUGAUCAGCCACACUGGGACUGAGACACGGCCCAGACUCCUGCGGGAGGCAGCAGUGGGGAAUAUUGGACAAUGGGCGAAAGCCUGAUCCAGCAAUGCCGCGUGAGUGAUGAAGGCCUUAGGGUUGUAAAGCUCUUUUACCCGGGAUGAUAAUGACAGUACCGGGAGAAUAAGCUCCGGCUAACUCCGUG